rnacentral:tRNA from 1 species
CGGGAUAGCUCAGUUGGUAGAGCAGAGGACUGA